rnacentral:RNase_P_RNA from 2 species
AAUAAAUGGAGCGCCGCCGCUGCUGGUCAUUCGGGCCGGUAGAGGAACUUCCCGACUCCCCACCUCCUCUGGAGGUAAGGUUGCCUCACGAAACAGGAAGUGAGGGCGCCAUGCUGGUAACGGCAUGGUGACUACAACCGCAACAGAGAGUAGUCCCGCCAGCGGCCUGCGAAGCAGGUGCGGGUAAGGGGUGAAAGGGUGGGGUAAGAGCCCACCAGCGGUCGCAGAGAUGCGGCCGGCUAGGCGAGCGUGCAACCGGGAGCAAGGCGAGUGGGCCAGGCCCGGCAACGGGUUUGGUCUCGUCGCAGUGGCAACGGCGAGGCCGGGUUACAUCCGGCAAGCUAGGAGCCACCACGCCCUCGGGCGUGAGACAGAUGGCGGCUAGAACAGAAUCGGGAGUACUCCCAUUUAUUCCCG